rnacentral:rRNA from 1 species
CAGAACGAACGCUGUUCGCAGGCCUAACACAUGCAAGUCGAGCGGUCGUAGCAAUACGGCAGCGGCAGAUUGGCCCGUAACACGUGGGAACGUGCCCUUUGGUUCGGAACAACACAGGGAAACUUGUGCUAAUACCGGAUAAGCCCUUACGGGGAAAGAUUUAUCGCCAAAGGAUCGGCCCGCGUCUGAUUAGCUAGUUGGUGGGGUAACGGCCCACCAAGGCGACGAUCAGUAGCUGGUCUGAGAGGAUGAUCAGCCUCACUGGGACUGAGACACGGCCCAGACUCCUACGGGAGGCAGCAGUGGG